ensembl:lncRNA
CAAGAAUUCUUAUGUUCUAAAUCUCAAAUAAGUUUUGGCCCCACUGAGAGGUCUGAAGCCUGGAUAUGAUCUGGUCACCUUCUCUGCAGAGUAUUGCAAUAGCAGUAGAUGCAGAGCAGCCAGCAACUGGGGAAUAGGAAAAUCUGCUGUCACUCUAACGAGUGCUGGGAGGCUCUGGGUCCUCCUACAAGCUCCCACUGGGUCCCUUGAAGUUGGUUUACACUUCUAGACGUAUCUAGCUAUGUUGCAAGAAGGAAAUGGCUCUUUACCCUUAACAAUCUGAGUAGAUAAGGAUCACUAGCUGCCAGAGAACCUGCUUUUCUGAGUAGUGAUGUAGAGCCAGCAGGGCUGGUGACAAGGGCUUGCCUUUCCUAGGCAAGAUUCAUCCCAGGAGAGUGUGGUGCACAGCAGUCAACAGCUCUGGCACUGCUGCAGCUGAAUAAGCAUGAGCCUGGGGUCCUUCCUAACCUACAGAAACUCUUACAAAGCUGAAUUCUAGAGAAGAUUGAAUUCUGACUCCUUUUGCACUGGGAUGCCAAGCAACCAUGCAACUUGGAGGACUUGGGACCUUUUUCUUCUCAUGCCUGGAGCCAGCCUCAAACAUACAACAAAGUCCAUUCAGGAGCUAAUGUCAAGGGAGCAAGGUUUUUCAGCUACGGUAGAUGCAGACCUUACACCCACGCCCUGCAGAUGAUGGGCAUCUAGAAUAAGGGUCAAAUGUGCCUUCUUUGGCUACAAUAUGAAUCCUACUGAAUGUUGUUCAAUGUGGUGGAUGCCAUUUUCAUUGACUCUUAUUUUGAGAAAAAACAGAUCUUCGUAUAUCUAUUAUUUAUAAGGAGUGGCGGAUGUAUCAUGACUAAGAAUGAUGACUACAGAGCUCUAAUUUGGGAAUUCCUUAUCUUGCGAAAAACUCAUGAAAACAGAAUAGUUGUGACAAAUAAAUGCAUUUAUGCCAUUUUAUUUCUCUGGAGUCAGAUCCUGAUUGUACCCACCAAACUCCAUUCAUUUGAAUAUUCCCAUUGAUUAAGGGAAAGAGAGGAAAUAUGCUGCAUUACCUGUAGGAGGUGUGCCUGCUUUUGCUAACAGAUGUUCCUGCUUCGUGGAUGAAUGCCUAACUGGUCAGAUCCUUUCCUGGUGAACGCUGGUAUCUCUGAGAUAUGUCAACUUCCAGAAAGGUUUUGUCAAAUGACACAACUGAUGAAGACUUCACACUCACCAUGCAGUACUGUCCCAAGGAACAGAAGACAAGGGUGGAUGCAUGGAGCAGCCCAGCACCCCAAUGGAGAGAAACCUCCUAGGAUUUGGCACAUCGAGGUGGGAAAAUGCAGCACCAACAGGCUCACUCCUAAGGAAAAGCCAUUCUAGCCAGGUGCUGACCCCUUUCUCGAAGGAGAUUAAUAUCAAUGGGACUAUUUUCCCUACACAAGGAGAGUCUGCAUAAUGAGAGGAGCAAAAGAAGUUGUUUGUUCACAGAACUUGCAGAAGUCUCAAGCCCCUUCUUCAGAUGAGCGCAUUCCUCUGAUGUUGAACCUUCUAGGACAUCAAGCUCCAGGAGGUGAACGGUGAAUUACCCUGGUGAUGGGUGCUAUUUGGAGGCGUAUACUGCUGUAAUGAGAAUGUACCAUGGUUCCCCUUGAAGUAAGACAUUGGCUAUUGCUGGUAGUUACUGCCUUGCAAAGUAUUAAUGUUCGGUUAUAGCGCAGUCAUGUAGGAAAAUUAUAGAUGUCUACAGGGUGUUACUUAGCAACACUCGGUAUUGUUGAGUUAGUAAUGAAGAAAUGAAGUAAAAGAAAUACAGAAGAUAUUGAAAUCAUAAAAUAAACUGUGGUACAACUUGUGAAAGCUGUUCUGCAAAUAAAGCUGUCUGUUUCUCUUUUUCGCACAGUGAGCACGGUGGAAGAACUUGAGAUCUGAUCUGAGGCAGCACAUUUAAAAUACCUAACUAACAGAACAAGUGUGUUGUUCCCUUUUGUCCUUGUUCCCUGGGAAAAGCAUCAGAAGUGCUGAGCUUUUGAAGAUCUUCUCCCUGCCAUUUCAAACCCAUCCUGAAGCACUGGCUGGCCAAUUAAAAUAAUCUUCUUUGGAAAGCAUUCACUGAAGCUGAGAAUGAAAGCUCCUGUCUACUAUAUCUAUUUUACCCAUUCAUUAAUUUACGUAACUCUCUCCACCGUUAAUCAAGUGUCUGUAGGCAUAUCUCAAAAGAAGGAGAAGACCACAAAAAUUGAGACAUUUCUGUUGGAGAUGAACCUUCCAUAUGUUGCAGAUCUAUCUCAGACACUUAUCUUAGCUUAUCUCCACCUGUUUAGAUUGGAAAACCGACAAAAAUCCAUCUCCCAUGAGAUUUCCAAGGUUUCUUGAUUUUGUUUGAGUCAGAGCUGCCAUAAGAGAUGCAUUUCUCAGAGCCCUUCUGAGCUGCUGCCAGGAACAGGGAGUGCUGGGCUGUGCCACUUCAACAACAACAGAAAGAGUUUUCUUUGAAAAGUCACCAAAUUUUAUAAGCUUUAAAAAAAAAAAACCUUAAAAAAAAAAAAAAAAACUUCAGCCUCGUUCAGUCUCAGAUCUGAUUAAAAGAGCUGCCCUGAUUUAUUGGUGUCAAACAAAGUAUGUUUGGGUAGAACGCUAUUUUGUAAUGGAAAAAGCAUCAGUGGAAGCACCGCCUCUCAGCGCUGCUUGGGUUGGAUGAGUGCUAAGCCUUAAAUUAUGAUUGUGCUGCUGAAGAAAAGGAGGACUGCUGGAAACGCUGCAGCUAAGAGGCCCAUCUCUCACUCUUCCAAAUAAAGGUAUCUGUGGAAUCAGCCUUGGCAACACCACCAGAUCUGCUGGUUAAAUACUGGGCAGUAUCUGCCCACUCUGUGCUGCACGUGCCCUGCAGAGCAGAUGGGAAGGGGUUUCAUAAUAAUAUUAUGAAGUUUAAUAAUCUCUAGUUGCUUCCUGAUGUCCUACCGUUUUUAUUAUUAUUAUUAUUAUUAUUAUUAUUAUUAUUAUUACUACUGUUUUUAAUGGUUAAGCCCUUUUAUUUUGCCUAACUUCUUGUUCUUGCACAUUCCCUCAGCCAGGAACCUUCUACCAGAGCAUUGCCACCAGGAUGAGUCUGCAGGGACCGCCCAGACACACCUGGAAAAUCAAGUGCCAGAAACCAGUGGUUCAGGGGUGCCAAGCACCUCUGUUAAUAUAUCAGUUUAUACCUGCAAGACCUUGUCCCACCAAACCAAAAAAAAAAAUCCAUCAUUCUACUCAUGCACUUUUCCCCAAAACACCACAAAAGUGACUUUUGGCCUUUAAAUCUGAUCCAUCUCCAUUUGAGAUGCCACCGAGGCUACAGCUGAGACUGGAAGACCUUAUAUAAAUUUAAUUCAAUAAAAGUUAUUUGGAAACAUCAACCCUGAUUGGCAACUGAAAAAAAAUAUGCUGCAGUUAUCAGAGUCCUCUGCACAUUUUUCCCAGCAGACAUUUUGUCUGUCUCACUUGUGGGGAACUACUCUGGGUCAGAAUGCUGCAGAUGCUUUUAUGAUUUAAAAUUGAAAAUUGAAAAAGAUGGUCUUUGUCGUGUAACUUUUAGCAGUGUUUCUUUUGCACGAGCAAAACUGUCUUCUGCCUUAAGAUGUUUAAUGAUUAUUUGAAAGCGACUUGAUGAAUAGAAGAGCGCGUACUCCCACAGGGGACAAACGUAUUUUUAGACUGACUCAUAAUAAUUAAUCUCUGUCGAAGUGUAAUGCAUUAAUUUCUCCUACUGGUAGGGGCUCUACUGCUGCCUCUUUUCCUAAGGUAGAUGGUUCUGCUCCGGGAGCUGAUUUAAGUGGACACAACCAGGUACUCAGUUAUGUGACUGUUACCUCAACGAUCUCUGUAGGAACACAGGUACUUAUUUUUGUGGAUACGGUGCACUCCGUGUUUCAUCACAGACCUUUGUCGCUUUGUUAUUUAUAGAAUUCAGAUUACUGUAAUUUAAAAGUCUCUCUGUCCUUGCAAGCACGCAGUGACACAAAAUAAACCCAAGUAUUAAGGAGGAAAAAAAAGAAAAAAGAAAGAAAAAAAGGAAAAAAAAGAAAGAAAAUGAAAGCAGCAAUGUGGAAAUGCACAGCUAUAAAGUGUUAUUAUUUGCUAAUAGUUUCCAUGUAGAAGUUUGCUGCUGAGUGCCGGGCUCUGUGCAGUGCAGGGCGAUGCAGCCAAGCAUCUGCCUCCAUGUCCCUCCUGAUGUAGGCAGAGCGGGACUGCAGUGCCCUCCAAGUUCCUUUUUUAGUAAAAUCGCUCCUUGUCCAAGUGCUGCUGGCCCCACUGUGUGCCAGAAAUACCCGCGGUCCUUUGGGACACGCAGCCCGUGGCACUGCCUGAGCCCCAGUCCUCUCAGCCCACCAGGUCCCUCCCAGCCAGGGCUGGUGGCAGCGCUGCUCCUCGCUUCAUUUGAAGGGCAGCAGACAGAAGACGUUGACUCUAUUUAUUUAUUUGUUUGUUUGUUUGUUUAUUUAUUUAUUUUUGGCACGGGAUAGCAAAUAACUCACACAUGGCUGGAAAAGACUGCACGCGGGGGAGGAUGUCACAGGCUGCAGGGUGAGAAGCUCUGUGCCUUGUCAUCCGUUUCUUCCAUACCCGGUUUUGCCCUUUCUCUGCUGCUGCCACUGGAGUACAGAGAGACCCAGAGCAGUGAUGCCAUUCUGCUGCUGGCCCUGCCCGCUCUGACCUUUUCCAACCUCAGAGAAGGUUUUGGCCCUAACUCCUUUGCCAGGAGUCAUCCCUACAAAUCAAGAUGUUCCCCCUCCAGGUGAGAUGAUGCUUUGGAUGGGGCAGGCUGCUAUCACGUUGCCCUCAGUGGAGAUGUGUGAGCAAGGUAGAGAGAGAAUGAGGACUGGUGGAGCCGUACAAAAUGAGCUCAAAGUUCUCAUAGGGCUCAGUGGUGGUGCCGGGAUCUAAUGCGCUGCUAAUGAGGUUGAUAAGGAACCUGUGAGAGGGAAGGAAGUGGGAAAAAUGGCUGCAGGACCACGUGGAUGUCAAUGAAUAUGAAGUAGGGACAGAAUUAGGGUGGAGAAGACAUGGUUGGGUAAGGGUCAAGUUGAGGUAUUUGGGAUAGACUCCCAUUGAGAUGUUUAAUGAACUGAGCUUCUGUCUACCAAGGUGGUGCUUUCUCCAAUACCUGUACAGAGCUCAGCACCCAUGGUUCAGCUCUAACCUUCCCAGAGGUCUCCUGUUUCUGCCAGCAGACACGUCAGAUGUCAGCACACAUGCACUAUGUGGAUAGAGGGGGUGAUAAUAAGUAUGCAAGAACAUCUCUGGUGUAGGGAACUAUAUACUGCACAGUGAGUUGAUCCUUAGUGAUAGAGUCAUAGAAUUGUUUGAGUUAGAAGGGACCCUUAAAGCUCAUCUAAUCCAACUCACCUGCAAUGUUCUACCAGAUGCUUGGAGCCCCAUCCAGCUUGACCUUGAAAGUGAAGUACUGACCAAGUAGUGACCAAAUACUUCCUAAGCACUGGGAGGUGAGUCUGGGGCUUCAGGGCAAGGCAAGGUGGUCCCGUGUGCCUGAGUGGCAUCCUGAUGAACUGGAUUUAGUUUCUUCAGCUACCUGAAGCCUACUUUUUUGUAUUUUUGUAUUUUUGAAAAAAAAACUUGUAUUUUUGAAGGAAAAAAAAAAAAAGGUUGCUUUUCAAAGGCAGUGAGUGUUCCCAGUUGCAGUAGGUAUUCAUGAGAUUUAGGUUUUACAAGCAUGACAUACAUGUCUCUGAGAAACAGGAUUUCUGGCCAGUUUGGAUACCCCAAAACUGGAAAAACUUUUUUUUAUUUUAAUCUGAUUAUAUUUCAUCUCUCCCUAUUCUCACAACAUGUGAUUUGACUGCAGGAAUACUUAUGUUGGUUUUUGGAUGACCUGUUAAUGAGAAAUACAGAAAGCCCAAGAGGCUCUGAACAGUCCUGUCUUGCUGUUACUUGAUCUCGGAAAUAAGGCAUGGUGUCAUGCAGUAAACAUGAAAUAGAAAAGCAAACAUAAAGUUAUUAAAAAUGUGCCAUCUGCUCCAUGCAGAUGAGGAGCAGAAAAUUCUCAGGAAAACUCUAAGGAAGUUCUUACGAACUUAACUGCUGUUGCUGAACUGAAGUUAGGGUAAAGGUGGUGCUCAUGUACAUCCUUGUACUAUUGCACAGAUGAGGUCUGAGUUCAGCCACUCAUCUGACAUAGGGUGAUAUUCAUUCUAACACCAGGUGUUACGUUGCACUAGGAAUAAAGCAGCCACUCGCUGGCAGAGUAAGCUGUACUCACAGUGAGGGAUGGUGGCAUUGCUGGGCAAUGUGUUGGAGGCUGGAGAUGGCUGUUACGUUCCUGCAGCUCCAGACCCUGCUGAGAACCUGAACUGUUAACCUGAAUGCUCAUUUUUAUGUGUUUUCCGCUGAAACUGUUUAAAAGCAUCUCUGUUGCUGUGAAUUCCUGCUUAUUUGUCAUAAAGGGGGAAAAACACCAAACAGGAAUUAACAAGAGGAUUUUCUUUGUGACUUCAGUGCCUCAUUAGGAGGUUUAUGAUCAGGCUUUGGGAAAGCUUUCCUUGAAUUAUUUUAAGGUUCUAAUGAUAAAAACCUCAGGGAGGUCAUGCACAUGGGAGAUUUAAUACCCCGUCAGAACCAUCUGGCAUUAGAUUACAUGCAGGGAAAGAACAAAAUCUGGCAGUAAUAUUCAUCUCCAUUAACCCAGAAUACAGGCUGAUAUGAUUAUAGCAGAGAAAAUGCUCUCACUCUGUCACCAGGAAAAGCUCUUAAUAGACCCAGGCUAAAUUGGUUUAUAAAACUGAAGACUUCUUGAAGCAUGGAUCUGCCCUCUCAAUGAGUGCAUUAGCUUUGGCUUUUAAUAUGUUUUAUAUCUUUUUAAUGUCGACAAAUAAUAUGUUAAAGCAUAAAAUAUUGCUGGGGUGAAAGACAGUGUUUGGAGCUCCCAACUCACUGUGUGCGCACAGUGUUAGUGGUGUAAGCACAGCCUUGGAGCAUAGUCCACUCAUGCUUUGCUUCUACCUCUUCUCGAGAGCAUCAGCAAGAUCAUGGUCCCAGUGACAUCCUCAGAAAAACCUGUAAUGCUGUUGGUGACAAUAAGAUCCUCUCAGCUGUUCUUCUGAGAGCCCAAACCAGCCAAGUGCUUAAGCAAGCACUUGGCCUGAAGCACACUGAGCAGCACUUCAGGAUUUACAUAUUUAGUUCUAAGAAAGCCAGUAUUUAAAUUCUUGCCUAAACCAGAAGUUUAGGGGGAAGUAGAGAAAAUAGAAAAGUGUAGGGUAAGAAGAGGGACUGGAAAGCCACUGUUCUCUGCCCCUCAGUGUGAGGGUGUUUGGUGCAAACCCUUCUGAGUGAAGCACUACAGGGACACAGCCAGAGUCACCGCCCUGCACCCGAACUGCUGGCUCACCUCUGUUCGGCUGCUGGGUAGUUCCUGCAUCAUUCUCAUCUUGUUACUCCCCAUCUGCACAAUGACUUCUCCAGACGUGGUCUCUCUUCCCCUUAAAAUUUUCCUUUUCUUUCACCUCCUCUUCCCUCCACUCGCAGCUCCAUCUCCGGACAGCUCCUUUCCUUCACCCAGAGUUAUGAUUCCCUCGUUAGAUGGAAAGCAAAACCAUAUGGGAGACAAGAAAAGGCCAUUUAUCUCAAAGUCUAUUAAGAUGUGGAGACCUCGCAUUAAGACUCCAGUUCAGCCAGCCUUUUAUGCACAUGUUGCUGUCAUCUCCUUCCACCAGAACAGGGGUGUACUCCUGAGGCAGACUCUCUAAGAUGCUCUUAGCUUGUCAUCGGGUUUGUACUUAGCGUGGCUCUGCAUACAAAGCAUUUAAAGGAAAUAAAAAAUUAAAAAGCAUUGCCACGUCUUUUCCCUCAGCCUUCAAAGCCACCUGUGCCAGUUCUCCCCAUCUUAUUGUCAUCCUGGAACAGAGUCGUGGAGCAUUAAACAGGACGGGCAUGAAGCCUGGCGAAGGGAAGUCACCAAAUGGAUGCUUCUACCUGAGUGACUGGGAGGGCUGACAUUACUGAAUUAACAGCUGCUUUAGGAUGAGAGAGCAGAAGAUGGCUGCUCUUUUAAUUUGGGGUGAAAGCCUCCAUCUUUCACACUUCUGGGGAGUUAAGAGAUAUGGAGCCCUGUAAAACACGACUCUUCUGGAGUCCUGCAGUGCCUGCUGUUAUGUUUCUGCUCCCUUCUCCAGGGUUGUAACAUAUUUGCUGACGGAUUUACGCUGCAGUUGGAAACCAGAACCCAGGACAGCCUGUUCUCUUGCUUCGUGCUAUAAACAUAAAUACACUCGCACAGCCAUUUGUAGCUGGUUCUUUCUAUCUGCACAAGGAUUUUAUUAUCUUUCUCUAAAGCAGCCUAAAGGGGAGCAACAGACUGGCGACAAAAGGAAGUGCUUGAACAGGAACAAGAAUAAAAAGGAGCAAAGGGCAGGAAGUUGCUAAGAGACCAUGCAAGCAAGAGCAGGGAAUUAAUGGCAGAUAUCAAAGCACCUAUUGGAAACCGCCUGUUUUCCUACAAGGUCUCAUUUAGUGAGGAGGAGCUGCUAUCGGAAGGCAGCAAUGUUGCUCUGGUCUGAAGUGCAUUUCUAACACGGAGAAAACUUUUUCCCAUCUCCAGUUUUGUUCUUUGCAGGGCAAGUUGCUAAGUUAAUGACAGGCCUUUAAAUUAACUAAUUUUAUAGGGCAGCAGAGCGAGUAAUGUGGAAAAAAAAAUGCAAGCAAUUACGGUUUAAAUAAACCUUAUCCACUGCAUUAUUAGAAACUACCUGAGCUGAGAUUUCAGCAGUGUUAGAUUUGUCCUCAGCUCUCCCAAGUGGGAAUCUGGGCCUCACAGGGUUGAACAGUGUGGGAAAUGCUGAGUAAUUCCAGCACUGAGCUCUCAGCUGCUGUCUCAAAUUCCUGAUUUUCACCUCCUGGUUCCAUUGUUACUUUGCCUCUAACGCUCUAUGGGCCUUUUGACUAUAAAAGAACCAACAAGACAAGUCAAGCAGGUGAGGGAGGGCAAGAGAAGAAGAAGAAUUGUGUUGAAAGGCACUUACCUGAUAAUGUUGGCAAUGGCCCGAAAAACCCACUCUAACCUUCUCAGUACCUCCCAGUUCUACGCUCAACUUGAGAUUACAUCUACCAUAGGCUGAUAGUCUUUCUAGAUGAUCUUAAUGGCCUUUCCAACCGUAUUGAUUCUGUGAUAGCCCAUCAGCCUCAGCCACUCUGAACAAGGCAGGGUGCUUUGCUGGCUUUGCUUGCAGAAGCAAAAUUAUUGCGGUCUUUCAACCACUGCUGUGGGAGAAGUGCUCCAGCUCUGCUAUGUAGAACGGUUCCAGCUGUUCUCCACUCCCCCAGAGAUAUCAUCAGAGAGCAGUCGCUUACACUGAGAUUACGUUAAUGAUAUCAAAGGGUGUGGAAGAAGGCUGCUAAUUAGUAAGCCCUCGAGGCACAAAGAUAUAAAUAGCCCCGAAGCAGCAAGAGAGCAGAUCCAAAUCUGCAGUCUGACAUUAUCUUGGGCUGAAAGCAUUAUGUGUUGACUGAUUCCACCAGAGGAGAGCGAUUGAACUUUCCUGUUGAGCAAAAAAGCAGGGCUUGUUUUGAUUGAUAAAGCUCCAUGUCAGACAGUGCAGCGUAUUAUCUAUUUAUCGUGCCACCUGCCAUGCCUGAGACAGGAGCAGCAGCAGUGAGAACAUAGGCUGGGAUGAGCCAUCAUUUUGAAGAAAAGAUAUUGGCUCGUACUUUUACUUAUUAAAAUAAAUAAAUGAAAUAGCACCUAUCUCUACUUCUAUUGCCAAAAGUAUAAACACUUCCAGGAUCCAGCCAAAAGGCAAAGAUUGUGGUAAGCAGCUGAAAUCUGUCAGCAGAGAAUUUGCUAGGAAAAUAAGGCUAUCCCAACUAGCAUGGUCAUGGUAGAGAGGAAAUGGCAGUGCUGAGGAGGAUGGAAAUCACAGCGUGGCCUGCAGAGUCUCUGAAGGCUCAGAAGUCAUAACCCUCAUCUCAUAGCACUGGUGCCAGUUCACUCCCCAUUUUCUUGCAUGACUGCAACUGGCAAACCAGUCAGCUCUCCUAAAUCGCCAUCCUGUAUUUGGAUGCAACUCACUGUACUUCUCCACGCUUUGCUUCCUGCAAGGAUUACUUAUAUAAAGUUGUUGCACUGUUUUUUUUCUACUGUUGUUGGGUGGUUUUUUUUUCUUUUUUAUUGUUGUAUUGUUGGGGUUUUUUUUUAAGUCUUAGGCUGUUUUUUGAACACCACACCAACCAGCUGCUUGCAGCAGCUUGACACCACCAUCACCCUAUGAUAAACUUACAGAAUUUGGUUUUUCAGUGAAGGCUGGCUGUAAGGGAAGAGGGGGACAGGAAAGCACAAGAAGUAACCCAAAAUUCCCCUCCGAGCACCAUCCUGGCCAUACACAAGGACUUGCACAGCUGUUCCCAAGUGCAGUAUCGGAGCAACGCACGUAAGGAGUGCUUCUGCAGGACCACACAAGUUUGCUGCUAUUCUUAAGCCGAGCCUCACAACUGGGAAACUCCUGCCAAGUUGCUUGAGACAGUGGCACCUGGGAAGUAUUAUAUGAGUCUGUAUUGCAUCAUGAGAACCCUAUUUGCACUUAAUUACACAACUCCCUCCCUCCUCCCAGUAGAACAAGCGGGACAGAUGCUACAUCUACAAAGUGAGAAUCAAACACAUUUUUUAAGUGGAAUCUGACAGCCUGAAGCCUAGAGGCAGGCUUCAGACCAGAUCCCAGCAGUGAAGAUCCUCACAGUACUGAAUGGCUCAGGCCAAUGAGUUUUUGUGCAGGGAUCCCACGUACCCUAUUGUGGGCCUGUCUCAUGCUCCUGCCUCCUUAUGCAGAAAUGUAGUUGGGGAGAUUUUGAUCUUGGUCUUUCUCUGUGAACCUUUUCACAGCCAGAAGCGUGGAUAUUAUCUUCACAAGGCUCCUGCCAGGUCUUUUCUAUGGUGCUGGUCACAAUGUGUUAAGAAGCCUUGCAAGGAUUCACUUGUAGAUUGUACUGGUGCGUCUGGAUUUGGGGCACCAGGUUAACAGGCAUCAGUUGGGCUAACAGAUGAAGAUGCUCUGACAGGAAUGAGUGAUGGAGAGGCAGGAAAGCCUCACAUUGGCUUUGCUAACCCAAGAUGUGUAACAGCACCACCACCACAUCAUGUUUGAUAUGAGCAGAUCCUCUCAAAACAGAGGCAGCUGGCAAGUGGGUGUAGGUCCGCCACUGGCUCACACCUGCCUGAAGCCCUGUGUUUGUUGCCUAGAAGGGCUGGAAGACAGCCAUUGCUGUUCUGCCAGCCAUCCCAGGCUGUAUGGCAACAAAUGUGCAAACUGCACUUUUUAAAGCAACUCAUUGGAAGUUUGGAUCCCCAUGUGCAUUUCUAACCUCAGCUCAUUAUUUAUGCUCUUGCAAUUGUACGUAACUGGGGGCUUUACCCUUGUAUUCUCCCUUCAUAAGUCAAAUCUCCCAUCCUUUGCCAUAAAAUCCAAGACUGGAAAUACCUUUUCUGUUUAUGUCACACCACAGUAAUGCAGUCACUGAUCUGCCACAAGCUUCAGCUGCUGUAAAUUCUUUUCCUACUGUCCUUUCCCCACCAGCUUUCUUGGAGUACUUUAUGACUCACAGGUCUGGGCAUUGAUUCAGUAGUUUCUUAAGGAGGGCCCAGAAGGUAUGAUGGAAAGGUAUGUUUAUCAGAUGUGAUAUAGUUGAAUGAAUACGGUGAAUGUUGUCCUACAUGAACAAAAAUGCAAAUCCAUCAAGGAAAGUUUUAAUGUGUUCAGUUUAAAAAAUUUUGCCGAUGAUGAUUAAUGCUGUGGGUGAGAAGUGGGGUUCCCAGAAACUUUGUGUUGACCAUUAAUCUGCAUGGAAACCACUUGCACAAAGUUUAAGUCAGUGCAGAUCACAAACUGUUUCUAUGCAGCUCCUCUUAUGAUGACAUUCAAAACGAAAUGGGAGAUCUUCCAUGGUUUCACUUUAAUACUUGUCUGCUUCAAUUUGUCAUUUAUUUGGGCAUCGUCUGCAUUUUAAAACAGGAGAAGGAAAUACAGGUGAGCAAAGGCGUGCUGUGGUGCUCUUCCAGAUUUCUUCUCACGUGGUUGGUAAUUUCACUCUAUGGAUGAAUCACUGAGGGUUUUUCACACACACUGUCAUUUUAAUAUUCAUUAAAUGAGAAAAUGUUAGGGCACACGCAAAAAAAAAUAGUUCAGCUUUCAUGUUUCCUUCAGCGUGUGGUGUAAGCAUGUUCUUCUAACUACAUACCAAGGCUGGCUGGUGUUUUGCCUAUUUGGCACAUUCAGAAAACAUGCCUAGCUUUGCAGCUCAAAUGUGAGUCAGUAUUGCAAUUAAAUGGUUUAUAUGCUGCGAAACACUGUGUCUUCGAAUAAGAUGAUUACCAGACAGCAUUUGCAAUGCAGUGCAUACUGGAUACUGUUAGGUGAAACAAUAUUGCUUGUAUCAGGACUGUAAUUGAUUUCUCCUUUAUAAAGAGGUUUUCCCUCAGGUCUUCAUAAGGGGUUUUCCCCCUGGGUCUUCAGGAGCUGUGCUCCAUGGUCAGGUUCCCCACAACACAACAGUUCUGGUUUCCUCUGGUGCUGGAGAAAACACCAGAAAGAUGAGCUCAGGGCUAUCACUGCUUUUUGGCUCUCUCAAAUAUGGUAGAAAGUCUGCAUGAUUAAAUUUCUUUCAGAACUGGAAAACUGGUAUUUAUACACAUUUGAGGCUUUUCUGCUUGUGUGUCAUCUGGCUAUGUCAUUAUUCAAGGAGCUCUGCUGGCCAAGGAACAUAAAGUGGAAUUGCUGUAAAAUAGCUGUGGUAUGAGAUGGUACCCAUCAUCGUUGUUGCUUUCCUCCCAGCUUUUUGGACUGGAAUUAAUUCUGGUUUUCACAUUAAUAACUGGGCAGUGUUCAGCAGUGCAAAGUCUCUCACCUUGUUUUGUGGAUGUAUUUCCUCAUGAGGGGUAGGACCUGCCAUGCCCCACAGGGAGUCCAAUCCAGCUGCUGCACGGGCAGACAGAAAGGAGUCUUGGACGAAACAAAACAAACCAACCAACCAAACAAAAAACCUAACAAAUUUAAACCUCUUGGAAAGUUGGGAUCCUGGAAACUGCUUGGAUCCUGCUGGAACUGGAAGCGCCUGUGUCUGCAGCACUCUGUUGGACGUCACUUCUAGUUACACAUGUGCCUAAGUAUUCUGUGAGGCCGGGCCCUCAGAGCCUGCAGAAACACCACGUGCUUCCAGACACUGUCCAGGGACAUAAACACUUCCAGUUUUUCCUCUGGAGAAACCCAACGUGUCCUUGCCUGCUGAGCAGAGACACCGUGAUGCAACCUGCGUGAAUCUCCUCACCGGGCAGGGACCGAUGGAUGUGUGGAUGGAUGGACAGAUGGGCAGAUGGAUGGACAGACCACCGCACACCCGUCAGGCAGCAGCUGAAGAUGCCAGAUUUUCCUCUGGCUGCUGACAGCUUUCCUAGGGCAGCCGGAGGAUGCCUGGACUCUGGGUUUGUUAGUGUUAUUCCAGCCAAGCUCUGUAGCCAGAUCAUCUCACAUCAGCUGCGUAUUAUCCGGAGCCAUGCAAGGAGCUGUUUUUUAGAGGAAAUGCUUGUUUUAUAGGGUCUCUUCUGGUCUAGGAAAAAAUAUAUGAGAUGUGUGUGCUGCUCCAGGAGCAGACAAGGAAUAUUAACUGUGACUCUUACUAAUGGUGCAGUAUGACGGAGGAGGAAAACUGCUCCUCUCCUUUUUGGCCCGUGCUUGACUCCUGCCUGAAUCCUCUGAUUGAAAAACAAAAUGGGUUAGAUUAGGGUUUUCCUCACUCAUGCUCUUUCCAUGUCACAGAGUACAAGGCUGGAGCUGGACUUUGUGCUGUCCUUUGUGGCUCAGUGACCUGGGAUGCUCUGCCUGGCCAACACAGCAAGAAGCAUUCCAUGGCACAGGGCUGCUUGAUGCACAGAUCAACUCCAGCUUCUGCCUGCCUGCUGCUCAGUGUAAUCCGUAGGUUGGCAAAUCCAGCCUUGAGCAGGGCUUUGUUUUAGGUUUGAGUACAUCAGGUUUUUGAGAAAACCCGAGUUUCUUUUAUAUUGUUUUUAAUAAAAAAGAAGGAAAUCCACCACAAAAGUAUGCCCGCUGAAGGAUUCAAAAAACACUGAAAAAAUGAAUAGAUCAUCAUUUCAGGGAGGAUAAGCAUUGGGACCAGGAUAAGCCAUUGUUAGUAUCUCUUUCGCUUUCUGAGUGAUUUUAAAAUGUAUAGUUCUGCUAAAAAAAAAAAAAAAAAAAGGGAGUAAAGAAAUCUUUCCUCGAUGCCUUUCUAUCUAUUCCUUCAUUUUCUCAAGCAGUAUUGCUGUGCUCUGCCAAACUUCAGCGCAGUUGUGUGACCAGUGCUAGACCCUUCUAACUGGAUAAGCCAAUGCUUUCUCAUAACAAUACAAAACAAAUAUAAAUAGAUUCAGGGACAAUUUGUCCAACAAGGAUCUAUAGUGCAGAGUGAAUUCUGGAGUUAUCUUCAAAGUGUUUCUAAAAUGACCUAUGGAUGUCUGUCUAGUUUGUUAGGAGUCCAGAGGGAUUUUCAAUACGAUGGAUUCGGGUUAUUAAAUUACUGCUGGAAAUGUGGAGUUGACCUCCAGUGGAAAAUAUUUCUGCGAAAAAUGUCAGUGAACUUUUAAGUGAACUUUCCUCUACUGUUUCUUUUCUUGAAUCAAAAUAAACAAUAGAUUUGUAUUAGGUGAGGGAAGAAAACAGGAUGAAUCUAUUUUGUUUUAUUUUCUGAUAAGCAACACAGUCUAACUGCUAACAAAUGUUGGCCACGUCUACUUCUAGCAGAUACUCAAAGUGAAAGGUGCCUUUGAACUCACACUUGUAAUGGGAUGAAAUCACUGUCUCCUUUCUGCUGAUUUUGAUUAGAGACAGUGAGAAAUGUCCCCCUACACUGGAGUUUCUUUGCGUGAGGCUGAUCGAUGGAAAUGUGCCAGGCUCAAUAAUGGGAUGGUGGGAAGCACUUGGUUGGGAUGGUUUUUGGUCUCAGAAAGAACUACGAUGCUUCCCUGAAAUGCAAGAGGCCUUGUUGUGCUUGGUUGGGAGACCUGCACGGGGGUUUCCAUCUCCCUGGUGUUGUCCUGACUACCAGAUUAUGCUGGCAGGCGCUCUAAUCCGGUGAAUGCUUCACUGUUCAGACAAAUUAAGCAGUUCCAGCAGGAUGGAGCAAAAAAAAAAAAAAAAAAAAGCCUGUAAUGAGCAGAAAUAGGAGCCGAACCUGAGCCUCCUGCUCUGAGAUGAGCAUUUGCAUGCAUAUUUUUCAAAUGAAAGAGGAGGUUUUGCUUUUGACCAUUAAGAAGCCCAGCCCACGGUAUUCAGAUGAUGGAUUUGUCAGUGCUUUCAGGCUCUUUCGGGAGGUUUUUAGUUCAGCCCUUUAGUAAUGGCUUCAAGUUUUAAGGCAUUUCUCUUUGUAGUCUCCAAAUGACCUAUUAAAUUUCCAGACUCAGGGCACUAGAAUAAGACCUUUACAGACUCACUGCCCUAGUGCUCAUGAGGUUUGUUUGACAUUAAGACUGCCACCAGAUCCUGACUGGAUGUGCUGGCUGUUUCCAGCACUGCUUAACCUUGGCCCAUUCCCUCGUGCUGGAGAAACCCCUUCUGGUUAUUGAUCCUGUAACCAUCUCUGCACACCCUUCAAGGCAAAGUCCUAUAUCUGGCAUCUUUCCUGGACAGAGGGGCCCCAAGGUCCAGACCCUUAAGCCCAAAGCCUUUUGCUAGAGCAGCUACAUGCCUGCAGAGCUCAUUAACCCAAAAAAAGAAAAUGCGUGAUAAAAGACCAAGGGACACUGGAUUAGCAGAGAUAUGUUUUAAGUACAGGAAAUGUUAUUUUUAAACAGCUUGAGAGGGUUAAAUCAGCAAAAAUCUCAACCCCAUUCCCAUCUCCUUGCAAGCACAUGGUCUGGACAGCGUCCCUGGGCUGAGGCGCACAUCCCAUCUCCUGCACUGCAGCUCUUUGGAGACAUCGAGUGCCCUUAGCUGAGUGGCCUCUCUUCAUGCUUCCUUUCUGGAGUAAUGGUUCACUCCAAGCAAGCAGUUAUUCCAUGAGGUAUCAAACUCUGCAAAAAUCUCCUUGAUAUUUCAGCAUAGCACAGCGAAGGAACAAAGCAAAACAGCAAUUACAAUAUGAAAAAAAGGUUCAGGGAAAGGAAGUAUAUCAAGGUCUACAAAACAAAGCAAAUAUUGCCAUUAUCUAUAUUGUAUAUCCUGGUGGUGGGAAAUACUAAUGGAGGUAAUUCUAAAAAAAACCUAAGAUAAUAAAAAGUGACACAGAUCAGCUCUCCAAAUCCUGAUGUUCCCAAUGCAUGGGAAGCAGAAUUGCAUCUUGCCGUGCACCCGAAAUCCAUUUCCUAGCAGCAAGAAAAUAAACAGUUUUGUGGUCAAAAAUUAAAGCUGAAACAAAGUAUUGCUGUUCUGCAGACACAAGCAGAAAAAGUUGACACGUAUGGGGUACUCUAUUUUACGGUCACAUAACUGCUUUCUGCUCACUGCAGGAGAACACGCAAUUUGCUCAUUGUUUUGUGAUGUGCUCCAAAGCAUUAAGAGGAAUGAUCAUUGAUAAAACGGUAAUAAGUGGGGGAGUGCAGCUCCGCUUCCUCGCUUUGGCUUGCCAAGAGUGGGGGAGCUGACUAAGCACUGUCCAGACUAGGAGUGGACAGAGAGCAGAUCUGGUUAUCUUCUUAUAUAUCAAGUGGAAGUACCCCAAGGGGAACUGCAAUCUGAAACUAGCUCAAGCGGUUUGGCACAUAACGUGAUAUAACCUUCACAUCAAUAGCAUCGCCCAUGAGAUGCAAAACAAAGGCCAUGCUAUUGUAUAAAAUCUUUCUUCCCUCUGGGCAGAAAUGGAUCUUGCUUCCUCGCUGCUUGCCAGCUACCCAAGUCGUUUAGUAAUUGUUUAACUUCAUGCUGAUGAAUGAAUAGUAAAACUGAAACAGAGCUGCAGAACACAGUUCAAACAGCGAGAUAAAAAGGAUGGUUAAUGUAUGGAUUGCAGCGCCCAGAAGUGAAAUGUGAAAAUGCUGAUGAAUGAGAACUAAGCUUCUAAACGGCAAGAAAGCAACACAUGGAAUGGAUAAAAACUGAGGCGAAACACAGAAGGGUAGCCCUGCGUGGCCUUGUUUGCCACGUGUUGCUGAUUUUCUGUACAUUUGGGGAAGAAUUUCUG